rnacentral:rRNA from 1 species
CGGACGGGUGAGUAACGCGUGGGCAACCUGCCCUUAUCUGGGGGAUAACAGUGGAAACGACUGAUAAUACCGCAUAAUAUGGUUUGAAGGCAUCUUCUUUCCAUCAAAGAUUUAUCGGAUAAGGAUGGGCCCGCGUCUGAUUAGCUUGUUGGUGAGGUAACGGCUCACCAAGGCGACGAUCAGUAGCCGACCUGAGAGGGUGAUCGGCCACAUUGGAACUGAGACACGGUCCAAACUCCUACGGGAGGCAGCAG